GGCGGCGUGCUUAACACAUGCAAGUCGAACGAGACGAUUUUAAGCUUGCUUAGAUGAGUCGAGUGGCAAACGGGUGAGUAACGCGUAGACAACCUGCCGCAAAGAUGGGGACAACAGUCCGAAAGGACUGCUAAUACCGAAUGUUGUCAGGUUCCCGCAUGGGAGACUGAUUAAAGAUGGCCUCUACUUGUAAGCUAGCGCUUUGUGAUGGGUCUGCGUCUGAUUAGCUGGUUGGUGGGGUAACGGCCUACCAAGGCGACGAUCAGUAGCCGGUCUGAGAGGAUGAACGGCCACAUUGGAACUGAGACACGGUCCAGACUCCUACGGGAGGCAGCAGUGGGGAAUCUUCCGCAAUGGGCGAAAGCCUGACGGAGCAACGCCGCGUGAGUGAAGAAGGGUUUCGGCUCGUAAAGCUCUGUUGACGGGGACGAAUGUGCGAAAUGCGAAUAGUUUUUCGCAAUGACGGUACCUGUCGAGGAAGCCACGGCUAACUACGUGCCAGCAGCCGCGGUAAUACGUAGGUGGCGAGCGUUGUCCGGAAUUAUUGGGCGUAAAGGGAGCGCAGGCGGGAAGGCAAGUCAGUCUUAAAAGUGCGGGGCUCAAACCCGUGAUGGGAUUGAAACUGUCUUUCUUGA
rnacentral:rRNA from 1 species